UACUUAUGGUUAUAGUUAUGUUAAAAAAGUGUUACAUAGAUAAAUGUAAUGAUUAUAGUAUGAUUAUAUUUAAUUAUGUAAAUCAUAAUAAAAAAUAAUAAUGUAUUUAGUUUGUACGGGGCUUUUUUUUCCUAGAUUCGCUGUAGUAUAUUAGUAUCACGACAAUUUUUUCGGGCUCUUCCAGAGUUUAUAUGCAUAUUGGAAUUCAUAAAUAUUGAAAUUUGAAAUCUAGGAGGGUACUAUUUCAAUAUCAAUGUUCUGCUGGUACCUGCUUGACAUUGACACUUUUAAGAUUCUAGUAGAAGUAAAAUACCUAAGCUUAAUAGUCGUUUUGUAUAAAUUAAACCCUUUAUAGGGAUUGGAGAGGAUUGUGCACACUUCUGAACUAUACAAUUCCAUCAGGAUGUGAUCCAACUGACCCAAUUGGACAAAUAUUCAAGUUUUGUGAAGCAAAAUCUACUAUAGCACAUUUUACACGGUGUCUAGAACGAAUAGACAGAUAUGAUGUCGUGGAAGAGACCGAAGAAUUAUUUAUUUCUGAUAUUAUAUAUUUUAAAAAACAAUGUUCUUUAGCAAAAUAUCCAACUUUAGUAGUACCAAAUGAUUUUGACAUCAAUGUUAUUACUUUAGAUGAUAUAAAUUCAUCCAGCAAUGGUUUUCCUCUUACAAGAUAUGAUAAACCUAUUUAAAAAAGUGACCAAGUGACUGAAUUUAAUCAUGAAAGUGACCUACAUACAUUUAUUUCAUAACAAUUUACUGUUAUUAAAUAUUUGUCUUUGAAUAUUGAGUCCCUACAUAUAA